AUAACAGCCGGUUUCCGAAACGUUAUUCAAAUCUUCGAUCAUCUAAUCGAGCUGUUAGAUUUGAUCAACUGUUAACCAGUGACGAGUUUCUCAAACGUCGAUCAUCUUAAAAUUAUAUGAUCGUAGAAAAUCGAUUAUCUGACAUACGAUUUGGUAUCGAUACUGUCACAAUCGGCUGUCAUCCUUCAAAAUUUCAUUUUAUAACCAAAAAAUUUCAAUCCAUAGUAAAUAACUACAUAAUUUAUAUAAUUAAAAAAUAUAUUAAAAAUGAGCAAUACCAACGGAAAUCCUCCACGCAAAAAUUAUACUGAGAGAGAGAGAGAAAUGUUUGCUGUUGGAAAUAAUUGGAAAAUACAAGCAUAUUAAAUUGAAAACAAAUAAUGUACCAAUGCUAUGUCCACCAACCAAAACAAUGAAACCUGGGAAAAAAUAGCGCUGAAUUUCCCAGAACUCCCAAGCAGCUGAACACUGCAUAUAUAAACUUAAAAAGGGUCACUAGCCAAAAAGUAGCAGAGGAAAAUAUUCAAAAAUAUAAUGAGCAGAAGGUUUUGGACCAGUUGAAGAGAGACCAAACUGCGGACAAAAAAGACAUACUUGCAACAGGUGGUGGCACAUUUAGGCCUCGUCUCACACAUGUAGGGGCACAAAUGUUGAGUUUGAUUGGCAAUCAAAUCCAACCUUUACCCAACAGUUGUGACAGUGCAUCUGGUUUCUUCACAUCUGUUGCACAAGACAGUCAAGUGGAAGUAGAUUACCUACAAUUGGAAGACACAUAGCAGACGUCCAAUGUACCCUCUACUUCCACUGUGCUGCUCAGUACACCCACGACAACUGCUGUCCUGCCCAAGAAGACAGCCAAGAUGUCUCAGGCUCGUUCAAAAAAUAAAAAAGUAAAAGAUGUAGGGAGCGAAACCCUUAAUGUAUCUUUUACAAAAAAAAUUGAAACAGCAAGACUAGAAAAAAGAAGUAAGAUAGUAUUUUUCAACAAGAAAAAAAGAAAUUUUAGAAGUAGAGCUUCAAAUAAAAAAAUUCGAUCUCAAUAAAUUAUUCGGUAAUAGUGGUUAGGUAUGUACCUAAUAAAGUAAUUUUAAAUAAAAAUUGUAAUUUCUUUAA
rnacentral:lncRNA from 1 species